GCUCGUUCUUCAACUUGCUCUGAACUGUCGCUCGUCCUACUCCUCUGUAUUGUGGAGCUGGAUAGUCUCGACGGCGCAAACCGGUGGCAGAGGACGGGUCGGACUCGCUUGAAUCGUCUCAGAGCUGCGUCGGCCUUUCGGACCUGCGAUCGUUGUGUCGUCGUGGGAAGAUGCGUUAGAGUUGUUGGGUGGUGCUGCGUUCACGGCAGCAGCGGCGGCGGCGCUGAUAUUGUUGGGAAACGUCAUCGUCGCGGAAGCUUCGACUUCGCCUUCGGCGUUUGUACAGAACAUCAUCUACUCAACAAGAUUGCCAUCUUCUCCAAUUCCUAUUGCCCCUCCUUGCAGUGCUUGUAGCAAUUGUUGGUGUGGGUGCUUUUCUGUGGUGGGCAAGGCAGGAUAUGGUUCAAGACAGUUUGCUAUAUAAACAGGUAAUCUGGAUUGGUGUUGGAUAGUUUCCAUGGAUAGGCAUGUAGAAAUCUUUUGUGUUAUAAUCAGUUCAUUCUUUCCCAUGUGAGAUGUAUCAGAUAAAAGCAUGAUAUGUAUAGGAUGUUUGGAAAAGGUUUGAGUACGCAAGUGAUACUCUUUCAUGUAACAAUUCACGAACGCUUCAUCCACAUCUUGUAAUCAAGUAAUGUCAGAGUAACAUCCUGAGGGUGAUUUUCAAUUGUGAAGUUUUAUUUAUUUCU